rnacentral:rRNA from 1 species
CCACACCAAAAACAACUUUCCACGUGAACUGUCUUACGAGAUUCGCGCCGUGACGCGUGUUGACGCUGUGUGUGUUUGUGUCUUCUUUCGAGAGGAUAUUGUGAUGCAAACAGUGUUGACCGUGUGGGUCGGCUGAUCGAAGGUCGCUUUGUGCAUUAUUGUAUGGAGCGGCUGACUUAUUCUUUCAAAUCCAUUACACAAUACUACUGAUUCAUACUGUGAGGACGAAAGUCUUUGCUUUUACUAGAUAACAACUUUCAGCAGUGGAUGUCUAGGCUCGCACAUCGAUGAAGAACGCUGCGAACUGCGAUACGUAAUGCGAAUUGCAGAAUUCAGUGAGUCAUCGAAAUUUUGAACGCAUAUUGCACUUUCGGGUUAUGCCUGGAAGUAUGUCUGUAUCAGUGUCCGUAAAUCAACCUUGCCUCUCUUUGUCGGUGUAGUCCGGCUUGGAGUGUGCAGAUGUGAAGUGUCUCGCGCUACGUCAGUUUGAUGCUAUGCAAUAAGACUAGGCGCGCGAGUCCUUUGAAAACGACACGAUCUUUCUAUUGCUUUCUGUGGAGCGCGACAAUUGAACGCGGCGGUCUUGGGAUCGCCUGCAGUCGAUAGCGACUUUGGCAGAGACAUAUGGAGGAUACCUCAUUUCGCGGUACGUUAGGCUUCGGCUCGACAAUGUUGCGUAGUGUGUGUGUUUUUCCGUCUUUGCUUUGAGGUGUACUGUUGAUUGUGGGCUUGAACCUGGGUUCUGUGUGUUAGUAGAGUGUGGCUGUCUCUGUGGUUUGCGUCUGCGUGCUAUUUCGGUCGCACGUAGGUAGGAGGGUUCCAUUUGGGAAACAUUGUACUGCGCACUGGAAAGUGUGUGUGUAUCUCACUUGGACCUGAUAUCAGACAAGACUACCC